rnacentral:rRNA from 1 species
AUGGACAAGAAGAGGGUGGCCAUCGUCGGCGCCGGCCUGAGUGGCCUGGCGGCGUGCAAGCACCUCCUGGAGCGCGGCUGUCGGCCGGCCGUCUUCGAGGCGGACACCGUCCUCGGCGGCGUGUGGGCGCACGCACCAGAGUGCACCAGGCUCCAGACGCCACGGCCCAUGUUCCAGUACUCCGACUUCCCGUGGCCGGAGUCUGUCACGGAGGUGUUCCCGGACCACCGCCAGGUCGCCGACUACCUCGACGCCUACACACGCCACUUCGGCGUGCUCGACUGCAUCAGGUUCGGCUGCAGGGUGGUCGGGAUGGAGUAUGUGGGCGUCGGCGAGGAGGAGGUGGCGGCGUGGGAGGACUGGGCUGGGUGCGGCGAGGCGUUUGGUUCCGGCGACGGCGAGUGGCAGCUCACGGUGGCCGACGUCGACGGUCUCAUGGAGUCGAACAACACGACAAACACCCAGAUACAAUCGAUGGUACACAAGGCAGACUUUGUGAUCCUUUGUAUUGGGAGGUUCAGUGGUGUGCCCAACAUACCUACAUUUCCAGUUGGCAAAGGCCCAGAAGUGUUUGACGGGAAAGUGAUCCACUCCAUGGAGUACUCAAAAAUGGGAGGCAAAAAUGCUAGAGAUAUGAUCAAGGACAAGCAUGUGACUGUUAUUGGCUACCUGAGAUCAGCAGUAGACAUUGCAAAUGAGUGUGCCAACGUCAAUGGUACCGAAAAACCAUGCACGAUGGUAGUACGAACAAAGAGUUGGAUUAUACCAGACUACUAUGCUUGGGGCGUCCACAUUUCAAAUUUCUAUCUCACCCGUUUCGCCGAACUACUUAUUCACAAGCCUGGUGAAGGCUUUCUCCUCAACAUGUUGGCUACUGUCUUGACUCCACUGAGGUUGAUUUUUUCGAAGUUUGUUGAGAGCUACUACUCAAUUGCAAUGAGGAAGCAUGACAUGGUGCCUGACCAUAGCUUUUUUGAGGGAUUAGUGGCAUGUGUAGCUGCCAUUGCACCAAAGGAUCAUUACAAGAAUCUGGAAGAAGGUAGCAUCGUUCUUAAGAAGUCAAAAACAUUCAGCUUUUGUGAAGAAGGUGUGCAUUUUGAAGGUGAAUGUACUCCAGUAAAGAGUGACAUUGUUAUCUUCGGAACCGGAUUCAACGGUGAUCAAAAGAUCAAGGACAUGUUCACAUCAGAAUACUUUCAGAGCAUAGUCGUUGGCUCAACAUCAACGACCGUGCCACUUUAUAGGGAGUGCAUCCAUCCAAAGAUUCCACAGCUCGCGGUCAUCAGCUAUUCCGAGAGCUUGACAAAUAUCUAUACAACAGAGCUUAUGUCCAAGUGGAUAUCACAUUUUAUGGAUGGUGGUUUCAGAUUGCCAAGUGUCAGAGAAAUGCAGAGGGAUGUCCUUGAAUGGGAGAAGUUCAUGAAGCGCUACUCUCGAGACUAUUUCCGUAGGUCAUGUGUUGGAAUUGUUCAUAUAUGGCACAAUGAUCAACUAUGCCAGGACAUGGGAUGCAACCCAAGAAGGAAGAAGGGUUUUUUCUCUGAAUUAUUUGAGCCUUAUGGUCCUUGUGAUUAUGUUAAUCUUCAGCCCAAGUAA